UGGGGAAUAUUGCACAAUGGGCGCAAGCCUGAUGCAGCGACGCCGCGUGAGGGAUGGAGGCCUUCGGGUUGUAAACCUCUUUCGCCAGUGAAGCAGGCCUGCUCCUUGUGGGUGGGUUGACGGUAGCUGGAUAAGAAGCGCCGGCUAACUACGUGCCAGCAGCCGCGGUAAUACGUAGGGCGCGAGCGUUGUCCGGAAUUAUUGGGCGUAAAGAGCUCGUAGGCGGCUGGUCGCGUCUGUCGUGAAAUCCUCUGGCUUAACUGGGGGCUGCGGUGGGUACGGGCCGGCUUGAGUGCGGUAGGGGAGACUGGAACUCCUGGUGUAGCGGUGGAAUGCGCAGAUAUCAGGAAGAACACCGGUGGCGAAGGCGGGUCUCUGGGCCGUUACUGACGCUGAGGAGCGAAA
rnacentral:rRNA from 1 species